UUUACAUAUACCGAAUUAUGCAAAUAACAUAUUAUUUCGAUAUAAUUUUUUUAUGGUGACGUAUAUAAUGAUAAUAUUUGAUAAUUUUGUUCCUUUACUUUUAUGAUUUUAACAUGAUAUUAAAAUUUUAAAAUUAUAUAAUGGAGAGAUAAAUGUAUAAAUAUAUAUUUUAAUUGAUUGAAUUACCUAUUUUCACCGUUGACAAAUGUACGAGUUUGAUGGACUGCUACAGUGGACAAAUAUGCACCAACUACUAUAGGUCAGCUAUACCUAUUAUAAGUUAUUACGUUACGUUUGGUGCUCAUCAAUAUGCAUGUAAAUUCAGUACAUUGGUGGUGUAAUGUAUACUUACGUGCUUGUGUUGGAGCUUACAUGCGCAUAUCAAUACGAUCGAAAUUGAAGAAAAAAUAUGUAUAAAAGAAAUAUUCAAAAUAAAAUUAAGUAUACUUUACAUGGAAUUUAUGUAUUUUUACAAUACUGACAUUUAGAAUGUUUAUUGUGUAAAAUCGUUAUGUUACCAAACCUAUGACUAAUAACAACAAUAAAUAUAAUAAAUAUAUAGUAUGCAUUAUGUA